rnacentral:rRNA from 1 species
GGAGGAUGCAAGCGUUAUCCGGAAUCAUUGGGCGUAAAGCGUCCGCAGGUGGUUUUUCAAGUCUGCUGUUAAAGACAGAAGCUCAACUUCUGAGAGGCAGUGGAAACUGGAGAACUGGAGUACGGUAGGGGUUGAGGGAAUUCCCAGUGUAGCGGUGAAAUGCGUAGAUAUUGGGAAGAACACCAGUGGCGAAGGCGCUCAACUGGGCCGUAACUGACACUCAGGGACGAAAGCGUGGGGAGCAAACAGGAUUAGAUACCCUGGUAGUCCACGCCGUAAACGAUGGAAGCUAGCUAUUGGGCGGUUUACCGUUCGGUGGCGCASCUAACGCAUUAAGCUUCCCGCCUGGGGAGUACGGUCGCAAGAUUA